rnacentral:rRNA from 1 species
AGAGUUUGAUCAUGGCUCAGAAUUAACGCUGGCGGCAUGCCUAACGCAUGCAAGUCGCACGAGAAAGCCCGGUUCGCCGGGCGAGUAAAGUGGCGCACGGGUGAGUAACGCGUGGAUAAUCUACCUCUAUCUGGGGGAUAACCCAUCGAAAGGUGGGCUAAUACCGCAUAAUCCGGCUGGUUUUCGGACUGGUUGGCAAAGGUGGCCUCUUGAUCAAAGCUACCGGGUGGAGAUGAGUCCGC